rnacentral:rRNA from 3 species
AAAUUGAAGAGUUUGAUCAUGGCUCAGAUUGAACGCUGGCGGCAGGCCUAACACAUGCAAGUCGAACGGUAACAGGAAGCAGCUUGCUGCUUCGCUGACGAGUGGCGGACGGGUGAGUAAUGUCUGGGAAACUGCCUGAUGGAGGGGGAUAACUACUGGAAACGGUGGCUAAUACCGCAUAACGUCGCAAGACCAAAGAGGGGGACCUUCGGGCCUCUUGCCAUCAGAUGUGCCCAGAUGGGAUUAGCUUGUUGGUGAGGUAACGGCUCACCAAGGCGACGAUCCCUAGCUGGUCUGAGAGGAUGACCAGCCACACUGGAACUGAGACACGGUCCAGACUCCUACGGGAGGCAGCAGUGGGGAAUAUUGCACAAUGGGCGCAAGCCUGAUGCAGCCAUGCCGCGUGUAUGAAGAAGGCCUUCGGGUUGUAAAGUACUUUCAGCGGGGAGGAAGGUGUUGUGGUUAAUAACCGCAGCAAUUGACGUUACCCGCAGAAGAAGCACCGGCUAACUCCGUGCCAGCAGCCGCGGUAAUACGGAGGGUGCAAGCGUUAAUCGGAAUUACUGGGCGUAAAGCGCACGCAGGCGGUCUGUCAAGUC